rnacentral:lncRNA from 1 species
AAUGGGGGUGGGGGUUGCCAUGGUGAUGCCCAGUCAACAGAAUGGAGAAAAGAGAAAUUUGGUUUGAAAUGAAAUUUGAGUCUUGAGAGAGGGCUGAUAUGAAGGAGAAUCAAACAAGCCACAUGGGAGCAUCUGAAGGCCUGGAGAUAAGGGCCUGUUGCAUGGCUGUGAAAAUUUGGCCUUUAAAAUAACUAGGCAUGGGCCAGAAAUCACAGCCGGCGGCUGCGACCACCCAAGGCAGGAGAUCCAGCGGGGGACUAUGGAGCUCAGUGGAGCUGCGGCCUGGGAGAAGCCCACCCAAGAGAACCAUCUCCCCAUUUCCGGCAUCUCGGCUUGGCAGGACCCCUCCAGGACCUCACUCCUCUGAGACGCACUGCAGACCUCACAGGUGACAGCAGCGUUUUGCUGACUCAGAGGCAACUACCACGAUGACCCUCCAGCCCGUGUCCAGACCUGGGGCAGCGACUUGGACAGGGGGCUGCAGAAGUGGGUCUGUGAGGGGGACCUGACGGGGGGCUGCAGAAGUGGGUCUGUGAGGCGGACCUGGGGGGGCAGCCCUGGGGUGGGCUCACUGGGGUUCACUCCACCUCGAAGACUUCAAUUCCAGCUCUGGCUGGUUUUGUUGGAUUAGGAACACACAGCCAGCCAAAUCUUGGUUACUAGGGUGCCAGAGAUCACGUGGAGAAAUGAAAUAAAGAGAGAACCCCCAAACGGUGGUGCUGCCAUGCAUUGGAGCCUCUCGCCCCAACAGCAUUCUUACUUUAUUUAUUUAUUUCUCAUCCACAUUUUGCUGGAAGAUUUUGCGCAUUCAUAAUGGCAAACAGAAUAUGGCGAUAAGCUUCUGUGUACACUAUCAUCAACAGCUUUCAAUUCCUAAUUAACCUUAUUUUAUCAAUAUUCCCCAUAAUCCCCCAUGCUGUUUCUUG